GGAGCCAGUAUCUCCAGGAGGAGUGAGAGAGUGCUCUGCCAGUGUGAAGUGUGAAUCCUUGAGAGGCUGUGGCAAGGGUCCAUGCCUGAAUGUGUAGAACAAGAACAGCUGGAGGCUGUGGCUUUCUCCAGGAAGAGGUUUCUAAAUCUGCCUCUUAGAAGAUAUCAGAAAGUUAAAGGCUUUCAUUUGGUCUCUUUUCGAAUCAGAAGACCCAGAAAACUUGGAUCCACUUCUGGCUCUCAUCCCUCUGGGCAGUGUGAUUUGGAUUGAGCAGAUGCUCCGGCUGCCACUCCAUCAUAUAUUGGAAACAGCAUUACUUUAUAGUAAAUCAUGACCACGGUGUAUGGCAAUGAAGUUGCAUCUGAAGCAGCCGGCACCCUAUGUGCUAGCUGGCUUUUAGACCAGGAGACUGUGAAUCUGUGGUCAGGAUCUCUUUAGGGCUGCUAAAUAUAUACUACCCACUAUCACUCGCUGGAGCUGCAG
rnacentral:lncRNA from 1 species